rnacentral:pre_miRNA from 14 species
UACUUAUGAUAUUGAAAGAUCCCACGCAGAGAGACCCUUACUCAAGUCUUGGGAAAUUGCGGACCCCAGACACAGAGAGACCA